rfam:Pyrococcus abyssi GE5 complete genome; segment 1/6
GGCGAUGAAGAACUGGAUCCGAGCUGAGCUUAUGAUGAUGGAGGUUUAACCUGAGC